GAUGAAGGAACGUAGCGAAAUGCGAUAAGUAAUGUGAAUUGCAGAAUUCAGUGAAUCAUCGAAUCUUUGAACGCACAUUGCGCCCGCCAGCACUCUGGCGGGCAUGCCUGUUCGAGCGUCAUUUCAACCAUCAAGCCCCCAGGGGCUUGUGCUGGGGCCCUGCGGCUGCCCGCAGGCCCUGAAAACCAGUGGCGGGCUCGCUAGUCACACCGAGCGCAGUAGCACAUCUCGCUCAGGGCGUGCGGCGGGCUCCUGCCGUGAAACCCCCCACUGUAACCCCAAAGGUUGACCUCGGAUCAGGUAGGAAUACCCGCUGAACUUAAGCAUAUCAAUAAGCGGAGGA
rnacentral:misc_RNA from 1 species